ensembl:snoRNA
UCUGGCAAUGAUGACCCGCUUGCCCUCGCUGAGAACACCGUUCGAUAAUGAGAGCCUCAGCGUGUGCUCAGAUGAGCUGAGCCAGG